AGUUUGCCUCUGCCAAUCGUCAGAGUGCCUGUGUUUGCGGCACUGCCCUGUAUUUCGGAACCUCUGCCCGUAAGGAACCCUAUCAAAGGACAGGGGACUCGCUGUGUUUAUACAACACUCUUUUUCCCAGGUUCAGCAUUCAGGUAAAAUAAGACUGUUGUAAACCACGCCGAGCACCUGCUCCUUCUCCUCCCAGGCUCCUCGAUCGUCCCUCUUCGUUGUUUGCCCUGCUCACAUCUGGACAGCGUCACUGGGCUCUAGCACAAGAGAAGAAUUCCACUUUUGGCAUCAGGAUCAGCUGCCGUACUGGAGCAGUCAAGGUAGGACAGCUGCAGGGCGCAGAAGGAUGAAAGGUUGUGCCUCUGAAGACGGGCGUCUGGGGUGAGCUUAGAACAGUAGGAAAAGCCCCACCAGAAGAAAGGGACUCCCGAGUUAAUGAUUACAGUGAAGCAGAAGGAAGGACAAAAGCAAGAGCAUGCGGGAAAAACAGGAGGACUUUGGUGAAAUUGAAAAUGAAGUGGAGAGAGCUCUCCUGCACCCCUGUGAAAAAACGAUAUUUGGGAACAGCUGACCACUGGUAAGAGACGGCAAAGGAAGAAAAUUCUGAAAUCACUCCGGGAGCCUUUGACGGUAAAAAGAGAUUUGGAAAUGCAAAUGGAAGAAAACCAAAAAUCGAGGCAGUGUUGAGGCGGGGCAGCUUGACCAUGUUGAUAGCAGACUACAGAGUCACCAGGAAUCUGGAGAAGCUGGACUGGAACCCUGGGAUUAGCUGGCUGGGUGGAGCCUGGAGCUGCCGGGAGCUCUGAUGUGGCUUUCAGAUGGUGGGGAGUUCGGGAAGAUAUGCAAAUGCUGUGGUUAAGGAACAGCCUGGCUGCCCUGCACCGUUGCUGAGCGCUCAGGCAGUGCUCAAAGAUAAGAGACGGAUGCUCACAAUUUGGAAAUACGAGCUUGAGUAAGGCAUUGAGAAGGCAAGUCUCUGGUGCAUGUACACAUUCCCAGAGAAAUUCAGGCCCCAGAGACGAACAUCAUUGGCGACGUUGCCCACAAGUGCUGUCUGCACCAAGAGACAAGCCAAGAACAUUGCCGUUCUGCUCAGGAUUGACCAAGAAGCCAUGAAAUCCCUGACCGAAGGAAACUUGGAUGAUUGCCUACUGAAUAAGGUGGACUUGAGGCACCAGUGGAUCUCCCAGAUGGUGGAAGAAGUGCAGAAAGUGGUCCAUCAUCUGACCACAGAAAUCAGCCACCAAGACAUCCGGUUCCAAGCCAUCCCUUGCUCUGACACAUACAAUGAGAACAUUAAGGUGUUGGCCCCCACCCACUUCCUCGUCACAGUCCCACUGAGAGGCCUGGCCGGGUACCGGGAGGCCCGGCAGCAGCGCUGGCGCUACUACACCCUGCAGGGCAGCCGGCUGCCCUGCCCCCUGCGGGACCCAGAGGGCCUGCAGCAGUGGCUGGAGGUGGAGCAGUUCCUGAAGAACCUGUGGCAGUGGCACGAGGCCGACGUGAACAUCGAGGGGGACAUUGUGCCCGCCAGAGUCCUCCAGGUCUUCCGGAAACUGGUGGAAAACGCAAUUGAAACCUGUCACCUGCCAGGUAAUAAGGUCAGCAUGCUGACGGACCAACCUGGCGUUUGGGUUGCCGUGGAAACCUUCGCGGGUUCGGUGGAGCUAGAGCUGAUUCCCUCCGUGGAGAUCCCCACCUCCUGGUCCAAGAAAGCACGGUGGCCUCCUUGUCUGAGGCGCUGGCCUUCGGCAGAGAGAGUACAGUGCAUCAAGUCCUUUGGGUUUAGCCUGUUGGCCUGUUCAAACUAUCACUGGCAGCUGAGCUUCUUGCGGGCCGAGCAGGUGCUGCUGGAGCAGCUGGAUGAGGACGGGGGCUGCCGCAGGAAGUGCUUUCAAGCCCUGAGGCAGAUGAAGGAGGAUGUCUGGUGCCCCGGGAAGAGGCCUGUGAUCACCUCCCACCACCUGCAGUGAGCUCCCAGCAUGGUUUCACGCUGCCCCUGGAAGCAGUGAGAAAGAAGCAUCAAACAGCCAGCCGUGCUCCUCGGGAAUGUUCACAACUCAACAAGCAAUGACCAGGUACCAAGCAUGCUGCCAGGCACCGGUGAUACCGUGAUGGAUAAGGCAUCGUUGUCGAUCUGUGUGGGAGACAAUCCAUGCGCCUUCCUCGCAGGUGCAGUGGGGUCAUACACAUGUUGCCAGGGAAGCACAAACGAGGGUCGCUCCGGUCAGCCUUGGGGACUUAGAGCAUGCAGAUAGGAGAGCUUUUGGGGAAGGGGGGGUGCAGUUAAAGCGAAUCUGGAAAGAGAAGAAGCCAGGAGAAAUUGGGUGGAGGGUGGUGAGGCAGGAAAAGAGCCUAGAGAGAGUCAGAGGGGUGCAAAGCUGCGAGUGCCUGCAAGGUAGUGAAUGUCAAAAGCUGAAGCGGGAGGGGCAAGUAGAUGCUUGGGCUUUACCCGGGUUCAGAUGCUGGCUCUGUCACUUAGGAGCUGUGCAGCUUUAAGUAAAGUACUUAACUUUUCUGUGCCUCAACUCCCUCACCUGCAACAUGUGGUUAGGAAGAGUCCCUGUCCCAGAGGGUUGCUGAGAGCAUUAGGCGAGACAGUACAUACAAAGCAGGCAGCAGGGUGCCAGCCCAUGACAAGCCCUUGCAAAUGGCGCCAAUCAUUGUUGCUGCUGGGGUUAUUGCUCUUAUGCCAUCAGGGACAGGAAGGCGUGGAAAAGCUGUGAGCACCUCCUAUGCGCCUGCCUCCACAUGCAGCACCAGGAAUACAGUGCUCUUACAUGUCUUGUGAUGCCUGUAUGAGACCUCAACCUUGCAGAAAUCCAAGCAAAAAGGGUUGUGACUGUGGCGUUCCCUGGUGCCAGUUGCAGUGUUCAGGGAAUGGUAACGGUCUAUCCAUCCUUUGCUGAAGGUGCCUAUAGGAUGGGCUACAGGCAUGAGAUACAUCCGAGAUACACAGAUGGGCUACAGGCACGAGGGUGUACAUCCAAGAGCCCAGGAAGGCAGGGAAGUCCCCCUAAAAGGAAAAUACCAAGUAUGCUUGAUGGGGGGGAGUCACGGCUCUUUGUCCUCCCAGACCCGCAUGCCAUCCUGGGCAGCUUUUCUUUGCCCCAUACGUCAGCAACUCUCCAAAGUUUCUUUGGCCUCAUGGACUUUUUCUGUGGGUCUCUGCUUCUUCACACAAAGCAGAAAACCUCUCUCCCUGCGUGUCACUGAACCCAGAGCUUGGACAAGAGAGGGGAGGCCCUCACCCCUGAGUUGUGCCCACCUGGCUUUCUGCAUCCAGAAGUGGAGUCCACAAUGCCACCCGGGCUUGUGCUGGACAGAGGGGACUCACGUCUGCCCUGCCUUGUGGAGCGUCCCUCUAGCUGCUCUGCGCAGGAGACCUUCUCGGACCUAAACAUAGGCUGCAGAAGAGGCAGGGAGGAAGUGCCAGUCUGCUCGCAGGCUCACAACCCCACCUCCUGCUGACAACGGAGUGAGCAGAGAGGGCGCCUCUCCUGGGCUGCCUUUCCAAGGCUUCUAAGCUGCUUGGUGACCUCCAGGGUCAGCGGCUUCCUGGUGCGGCUCAGCUACGUGGCAUGGGAUCUGCUGCGGGAGUUCUGAGGAUGCGGCGCUGAGGCUGAAGGUGGUGGUGCUGUGGGUGGAGGGUCCCCAGGAUGCCCUUGGCCCACGUUCUCCUUUCCCCACUGCAGGAGCCACCAAGGCCGGCAGCUGGGAGCCUCAGGGCCACCCUAGCACAGCUCCCCUCCGAGCAGGUGAGAAAACUGAGGCCCAGAGAGGUUAAGGAACUUGCCUGGGGACACACAGUCUGUGAUAGAGGACAGAUUCGAGCCCAGGCUGUCUGACUCCAUUGUUGGCACUUUUAGCCCUGCGCUAUUUAGCCUCCGGUUCUGGUGCUCUUUCUGUGCGGAUCUUCAUAGAGAAUAAGCCACCACGUGAUACGUGGCAUCCAGGCCAGUGGACACUCUGAAGCCGAGAAGCAUGUGGAUCAGUGCUGACCACCAUCCAUGUGAGAAGAGGAGCCCCCGGGGAGGCUUGAGCCCAUCCAGGUGGACAAAGCUCUCCUUUCUCCCCGGGAUGUUUCCUGGUUGUUGCCAGAGCUUCUCAGGUAACCCCAGUUUGAGUGUCUGAAAUCCCUGUGGGAAGCCCAGCACCUCCAGAGCAAUACCUGGGAUUCUCAGAGCGUCCUAGAACCAGCCUUGGUUUGAGCAGCCGAGCUUUCAGACAUCCAGUUACUGGACACCUGGCCUCUGGGGCCUGUGGUGGGCCACCGGACCUCUCCCCAGGAACACCUAGUGGACACAUCUUGGAGCCUGUCACGGGGUACCUGUGGGCCUGGGUCUGUCUGUAGAAACGGACAAAAUUAUAUCUCACAAGGGUGCGCUUUA